UUGAUAGGUUGGAGGUGUAAGUACAGUAAUGUAUUCAGCUGACCAAUACUAAUAGGUCGAGGGCUUGAUCAAAUAUUUAUUAU
rnacentral:rRNA from 1 species